rnacentral:rRNA from 1 species
UCGCUCAACGGAUAAAAGCUUCGCCGGGGAUAACAUGCUUAUCUCCCCCCAGAGUCAUCAUCGACGGGGAGGUUUGGCACCUCGAUGUCGGCUCAUCGCAUCCUGGGGCUGUAGUCGGUCCCAAGGGUUUGGCUGUUCGCCCAUUAAAGCGGUACGCGAGCUGGGUUCAGAACGUCGUGAGACAGUUCGUUCCCUAUCCGUCGUUGGCGUAGGAAAUUUGAGAGGAGCUGUCCUUAGU